rnacentral:rRNA from 1 species
AACGAACGCUGGCGGCAUGCCUAACACAUGCAAGUCGAACGCAUGUAGCAAUACAUGAGUGGCGAACGGGUGAGUAACGCGUGGGAACCUGCCUAGUGGUAGGGAAUAACCGCGGGAAACUGCGGCUAAUACCCUAUGAGCCCUCCGGGGGAAAGAUUUAUCGCCAUUAGAGGGGCCCGCGUCGGAUUAGCUAGUUGGUGGGGUAACGGCCCACCAAGGCGACGAUCCGUAGCUGGUCNGAGAGGAUGAUCAGCCACACUGGGACUGAGAUACGGCCCAGACUCCUACGGGAGGCAGCAGUGGGGAAUAUUGGACGAAUGGGGGCAACCCUGAUCCAGCAAUGCCGCGUGAGUGAAGAAGGCCUUAGGGUUGUAAAGCUCUUUCGG